UACGGGGGGAGCAAGCGUUGUUCGGAUUUACUGGGCGUAAAGGGCGCGUAGGCGGCCAGCACAAGUCAGUUGUGAAAUCUCCGAGCUUAACUCGGAAAGGUCAACUGAUACUGUGCGGCUAGAGUGCAGAAGGGGCAACUGGAAUUCUUGGUGUAGCGGUGAAAUGCGUAGAUAUCAAGAGGAACACCGGUGGCGAAGGCGGCUCUCUGGACGGUGACUGACGCUGAGACGCGAAAGCGUGGGGAGCAAACAGG
rnacentral:rRNA from 1 species